rnacentral:rRNA from 1 species
AUUGAACGCUGGCGGCAUGCUUUACACACGCAAGUCGAACGGUAACAGGCCGCAAGGUGCUGACGAGUGGCGAACGGGUGAGUAAUGCAUCGGAACGUGCCCAGUCGUGGGGGAUAACGCAGCGAAAGCUGUGCUAAUACCGCAUACGAUCUGUGGAUGAAAGCGGGGGACCGUAAGGCCUCGCGCGAUUGGAGCGGCCGAUGUCAGAUUAGGUAGUUGGUGGGGUAAAGGCUCACCAAGCCGACGAUCGGUAGCUGGUCUGAGAGGACGACCAGCCACACUGGGACUGAGACACGGCCCAGACUCCUACGGGAGGCAGCAGUGGGGAAUUUUGGACAAUGGGCGCAAGCCUGAUCCAGCAAUGCCGCGUGCAGGAAGAAGGCCUUCGGGUUGUAAACUGCUUUUGUACGGAGCGAAAAGGCUCUCUCUAAUACAGGGGGCUCAUGACGGUACCGUAAGAAUAAGCACCGGCUAACUACGUGCCAGCCGCCGCAGUAAUAC